GAGCAAUAUGAGUUGUAGUCUUAAGAAAGAAAAAAAGGGGGGAGUCUGUUUUUGUAAGUUUUAGCUGAUUUCCAAAAUUCUGUUGCAAUAAUGGACUUCCUGCCAAAAUUCGACUUUCCUGUCCAGUUGCCAGGUGCUCUGAUCUAAUCUUAAAGCAGUACUGCUUGCAUAGUUUGCAGACAUGCAUAAUGCACAAACAUGGGAACCUAUAUUAUUUCUGGCACUAUAGUGUGACAUUUAUUAAUUUAUUUUGGAUUGAGUUAAUUGCCUGGCCAUUAAUAUGCUUUUUGUAUUGGCAUGUCUGCUGGAUAUCUGCUACAUGUUUUCUGUACUAUAAGAUGUAGUGUGAUAUUACAAUGAGUAUGAAGAAUAUUUAAAGAAUAUUUGCAUGUCAUUAACGCAAGGCUUUAGUGUCUUUUUCAACAGAUUAAAAAACGCUGAUCAGCCGACAAGAAAGGGGCCCCUGGGAAAGAAAAAGAAAAAAAAAUAUCAUCUGCUUUUCAAAAUCGUUUCCAAUUUUAAAUGGCUCUUUCUCUCUCUCCAAAUUAUUAGGGGAGUAUUUAGAG